UGUCGCGAAAAGGACUUUUCACCCUAUAGGGUUAUGGUAAGUUAAUCAUGGUUAGCUUAAUUUGCCUUCCAACUUGAACAAUCACUACUACAAAAAUGCCCAAAGAGACCCGAAAUAAGAGACCCGUUAAUCAAAUAAACGGUCUCUGUGUUUCAAGAGACCCAACAUUACAAACAACUAGUCUCAUUUGUAGUAUUCUGAAAAAAAAGAAAAAAAAACAAAGACCCUUUCUCAGAGAUAACAGGUCUCUCUCAAUUUUUUUAUUUUUAAAUUAAAAAGGGGAGACCUGUGUUUUUACAUAACCGGUCUCUUUUUAUUAAAAUAAAAAAAAUACUAGUAUAUGUUUUGGAGAGACUUGUGGUGAGCUUAACCGAUCUCCCUUAUUUCCAUGAAUAAAAUAUAACUAAACCCUAAAAUCUUUCCCCCAAAUUUUCCUUCUUCAAUCCGCCUCCUUUUCCUCUCUCUCUCUCCUCCUCUUGCCUCAAACUCCUUAUUCCUUCUUUUCGUCAACCAUUUCAUUCACAUUUCAAUUUCAAUUCCUCCAUUUCUUGUUUCAAUUCAUCUUUUCUUCAUACUUUAAACCUAAAUUUUUUAUGUUUAUCAUUUUCUUCAACCUCGGUACUAUUUAAAUUCUUUCGCUUUCAGUUCGUCUUCAUAGACAAACCAAUGGAGCUUCAAAAGUACCUUUAAUGGCGUUUGAGCUUCUCCUCUUUAUUUUCUGAGUCGUCUUAUAAAAAGAAUGGACCGUCAAGGAAGAUGAUCUGCCAUUUGGCGGUUUAAUGAACAACUCGCUUCCAAUUUCGAUGAUAUAUCAUUGUUUACCACUAAGAACAGGUUAUCUAUGAGCUAAUGUUUAACUAUGAUAUGAUAUAGAAGGCGAGGAUGGUAACAGAUGAUGAUGAAAAUAAUCACUUCAAUGAAACAAGUGGAUGAUUGUUCAUUUUUCGUGUUAAUUUUCUUUUUAUGUGAUUACAGAUUAAUAGAUUAUAGUACCUAGAUAAAUUAUCUAAUACAUACUCUAAAUUAUGAAGUACUCCAUAUCUAAUAUGUAAAUAGUUCGUAUGUAUUAUGUACUACAUAUUAAUAGAUGUACCUUAGAAUGUA